rnacentral:rRNA from 1 species
CCAGCCAUGCCGCGUGCAGGAUGACGGUCCUAUGGAUUGUAAACUGCUUUUGUACGAGAAGAAACACUGCUUCCUGAAGCAGCUUGACGGUAUCGUAAGAAUAAGGAUCGGCUAACUCCGUGCCAGCAGCCGCGGUAAUACGGAGGAUCCAAGCGUUAUCCGGAAUCAUUGGGUUUAAAGGGUCCGUAGGCGGUUUAGUAAGUCAGUGGUGAAAGCCCAUCGCUCAACGGUGGAACGGCCAUUGAUACUGCUGAACUUGAAUUAUUAGGAAGUAACUAGAAUAUGUAGUGUAUCGGUGAAAUGCUUAUAGAUUACAUGGAAUACCAAUUGCGAAUGCACGUUACUACUAAUUGAUUGACGCUGAUGGACGAAAGCGUGGGGAGCGAACAGGAUUACAUACCCUGGUAGUCCACGCCGUAUACGAUGGAUACUAUCUGUUGGGAGCAAUCUCAGUGGCUAAUCGAAAGUGAUAAAUAUCCCACCUGGGGAGUACGUUCGCAAGAAUGAAACUCAGACGAAUUGACGGGGGCCCGCACAAGCGGUGGAGCAUGUGGUUUAAUUCAAUGAUACGCGAGGAACCUUACCAAGGCUUAUAUGUAAAUUGACCGG